GCGAGAGUGGCGGAAUUGGUAGACGCGCUGGAUUUAGGUUCCAGUACCUACGGGUGUGCGGGUUCGACUCCCGCCUUUCGCACCA
rnacentral:tRNA from 1 species